ACAGCAGUCGCCACGGGAAAACGAAGGGGGCUAGCGUUGCUCGGAAUGACUGGGCGUAAAGGGCGCGUAGGCGGCAUAUACAGUCAGGCGUGAAAUUCCCGGGCUUAACCUGGGGGCUGCGUUUGAUACGUAUGGGCUAGAGUGGGGAAGAGGGUUGUGGAAUUCCCAGUGUAGAGGUGAAAUUCGUAGAUAUUGGGAAGAACACCGGUGGCGAAGGCGGCAACCUGGUCCUUGACUGACGCUGAGGCGCGAAAGCGUGGGGAGCAAACAGGAUUAGAUACCCGUGUAGUCCCUGUCUCUUAUAC
rnacentral:rRNA from 1 species